CAUCACACUUCGUCGCCUCGAUCCACCCCAACAUGUUGUAUCAAAUUAACCAAGAUCCCGUGAAUGUUUUAGGCCAUCGAAUUUGGGUCCCAGCGUAGUUCCCGAAAGUCUGCGAUGGUUGGCUACCAAAGGCAAAAUAGAAGAGGCAAAAUAGAAGAGGCAAAAGUAGUUGUUGAUGAAAUUGCUCGAUUUAACGGAACAACAGUUCCUGAUAAUACCCUUGCUAUUCUAAUAAAGGUGGCUGAGAUGGAACGUCGGAAUAACCAGGGAGAAAAGAGGUAUACAUAUAUAGAUAUCUACAGAGGAGUUCCAAUGUUUAAAAAGAGUUUUUGUAUACAGUACAUCUGGAUGUCCUGUUCUGCAAUUUAUUAUGGAUUUGCCUUUGGAAUCAGCAACUUUUCUGGUAAUUUUUACUUAAAUUUUUUCCUGAUGAACAUCAUUGAAAUAUCGGGCAUUGCUCCAGUCAUCUACCUUUUAGGAAAGAUAGGAAGAAGGUACACCUGUGCCUUUGCUUUGUUCCUAGCUGCAGCAUCUUGUAUUGCUGCAUUGAUAACACAAGAAGUUAAUGAUGAAUCCAAGAGUUCUUUUUUAUUACUGGAGUUUCCCGUUUUGCCAGAGUAUUGACUGGUUCAGCAUGGACGGCUUUAAUUCUACUGACUAAUGAAUCUUAUCCAACAGUCAUCAGAUAUUUCAUGGGUUAUGGCCCAGGUAACACCAUGGCUCGCAUAGGUGGAAUCCUGGCUCCUUUUAUCUUCAGUUUGGGAAGUCAUAGAAUGGUACCUUACGUUAUAAUGGCCGUACUUAUGGUAUCGAGUGGUAUAUGUGGACUACUGCUACAGGAAACUAAAGAUUUGGCUUUGGCUGAUCUGAUCAAAAACGAUGUGGUAAAAGAUAUACGAGAACGACGAAAAUCUAGCGUAUAUAAUAUUUCUGGAGGUUUGGAAUCAAACGAGACGUCAGUUCAGUGUGGAGAAAAACCGGCUAAGGUUCUUAAAGACAUUGAAUACAGUACUCAGAUGUAAAAGAAAUGACACAUAUUUUGUGGGUGUGUUUUUAAAAUCCAGGCACGAUUACUGUCAUAAACUUAACAGAAUGUCAAGCUUAUUGUAUUCAUAUGUAUUCGUAUUUAUAUUUUAAUAUUCAUCAACAAUAGUUAAUUUAAUAUGUCACUUUUAGUAAGAAAACUUGCUUUGCAAUAUAUCUGAAAAAUAAAAACCUGGAAUACUUGUCGGGCUGGUUUUCUUAACAUUUUCUGAUUUCAGCCUACUUCUAUAGACAUUAAAAAGGAUAUACCAUGUUAGUCCCCAAAUGACAUAAAAUGAAACAUUUCUUGUGUGUGUUUAGCUGUAGAAAUAAUCCUUACGGGUGAUGCCCGUGGUAUAAUGUAUUGAAUUGUA